AGCUAAUCAGGGUACAUUACUAAUCAGGUUAUUUCUGUGAGCAAUAGAGAUUGAAACCACGAAUCCUAUUAUUGUUUUGCUGGGCAAAGUGUCCCCUGACCUCUUUAUCCCUUCAUUUUGAAGGUCAUAUCUCAUCCUUCUUGUUUUGUCCCUGAUCAAUAGUCCGUGAGAGGAGCGUGGGUCAGUAGGUAGCCAAUGAUCCAUUGUCUUCCUUUUGUGGAAAGAUUCUCUUGAACAAAUAAUAGGAGAGUUCACAUUCUAGGAGCUUCCCAUCCUCUGUAUCCCCAACAUCUGUAACCAUCAGUGAAUAGCACUAACUUUGAAUACAUCAAGUAUGGCAGGUCUUAAUUUGAGGUGCCAUGUGUAGCUAGUGGUCCCCGUAUUGAAAGGAGCAAUACUGACGUUGGAUGAUGCACAGUGGGGUCAUGGAAGGGCUGGCUUGGAGCUCAGAGCAACAGGCAAAGAACCAAGCAAGGUGAGGCAACCAUUCGGCACAAUGUCUGACUCACGGGGUGAUUUUUCUGACACUGCUAUGACAUACUGUGAGGCUUUAUCCAUAACACAGUGCAUGAUAUACCUAUAUAUUGUUGGCUGCUUAGAGAACCAUAUUCCAGUUGAAAUUGACAGAAAUUUCACAAGACCUGACUGUCCUCGCAGCGCUGUUGAAGGAGCAUCUCGGUUCAAGUCAGCAACAGGCACACCUGGGAGUGGAACAUUCUAUCAUGAUGGUAAGAAAUAUAUUUCUUUUCACUGCUCAGCUGCAUUGUUAAUUAUGGUACAUUUCCUAGAUAACUUACAAAGCAGCCUUCUGAGGAAAGGUAAACACGAAAGGAAAUGUUGAGCCCUAAAUGGAACCUAAGCCAGUAAUAACAAGAUUAGCCUACACGCAGCUAUUAGCCUGCAGAAGUUGCUAUGGGC
rnacentral:lncRNA from 1 species